rnacentral:misc_RNA from 1 species
ACCAGCCCACAUAUCGUCGUAUCUUCCAAUCGGCUGGCCAUCACCCAUGAGUCCAAAAUACAUAGCAGGUCCGAUCAGUUCACGGUCGAAUGCGAGAUUCAUUCCACACAUGGGAAACAAGGUUCCCUUGGGAAUUGUCAAGACUGCAUCUACAUACCUAGAGUUUCUUUCACGAGGCUUAACGAGCUGUGUAGGAGCAUCGUAGUCAGGAAUGUUAAGCCAAAGUCCAUGAGAAACCGCAGUCGGGACACCCUCACGGAGACUGAAAGGGUAUCCACGGACAAAGUCUGCACCUUCUCUAUAUGGAUCAUACAGAGUGUUGAAG